CAUUAUACAUUAAAUUACAUUUACUUUUCAUUUUAGUAGAUAAGAGAGACAUGUUCCAAUUUAUGCUAGCUUUCGUGAACUUUGUAACAACGACCAUUAAUUUAGUACCCGGACACUUUCUCUCAUAAAGUCAUGUUUUUGUCGUCUGUUUUAUGCUAAGUAGGCAGAAUACAAAGCUUGAACAGUUAUUCGACGUCGGGCUCGCGCGUCAUGG